UACGGAGGGUGCGAGCGUUUUUCGGAAUCACUGGGCGUAAAGGGCGUGUAGGCGGUCCGUUAUGUCUGAUGUGAAAGCCCGGGGCUCACCCCCGGAAGUGCAUUGGAAACUGACGGACUCGAGUCCCGGAGAGGAGGGUGGAAUUCCUGGUGUAGCGGUGAAAUGCGUAGAUAUCAGGAGGAACACCGGUGGCGAAGGCGGCCCUCUGGACGGUGACUGACGCUAAGACGCGAAAGCGUGGGGAGCAAACAGG
rnacentral:rRNA from 1 species